rnacentral:rRNA from 1 species
CCUACGGGAGGCAGCAGUAGGGAAUAUUGCUCAAUGGGGGAAACCCUGAAGCAGCAACGCCGCGUGGAGGAUGAAGGCUUUCGGAUUGUAAACUCCUUUUGUUAGAGACGAUAAUGACGGUAUCUAACGAAUAAGCACCGGCUAACUCCGUGCCAGCAGCCGCGGUAAUACGGAGGGUGCAAGCGUUAUUCGGAAGAACUGGGCGUAAAGAGCGCGUAGGCGGGAUAGCAGGUCAGAUGUGAAAUCCUAUGGCUUAACCAUGGAACUGCAUUUGAAACUGUUAUUCUAGAGAAUGGGAGAGGUAGGUGGAAUUCUUGGUGUAGGGGUGAAAUCCGUAGAGAUCAAGAGGAAUACUCAUUGCGAAGGCGGCCUGCUAGAACAUAACUGACGCUGAUGCGCGAAAGCGUGGGGAGCAAACAGGAUUAGAUACCCUAGUAGUC